rnacentral:rRNA from 2 species
UACGGAGACCUCGAGCGUUACUCGGAUUUACUGGGCGUAAAGGGUUCGUAGGUGGCCAAGUGUGUCGGGUGUGAAAUCUUGCGGCUUAACCGUAAAACUGCGCCCGAAACUACUUGGCUAGGGUCUUGGAGGGGUAAGCGGAAUUCCUGGUGUAGCGGUGAAAUGCGUAGAUAUCAGGAGGAACACCAACGGCGAAGGCAGCUUACUGGACAAGUACCGACACUGAGGAACGAAAGUAUGGGUAGCGAAAGGG